UUCAUAGGCCACACGCUGAGCCCUGCCAAGAUGUCCUGCCAGGUGGUCGGCCUCCACCCCUACACCUCCCACUGGUUCCUCCUGCUGCCCCACUACAAGGAUGUGCCAAGUAUGCCCUCCAGCCUGCAGUCCUUGGAUGAUUGCAAGUAGCGUAAGUUAACAAUGGAGUAAAGCAACAGUUAAUGUCCGCAUGACAGAUGGAGUGAGGUGUGGGUGCAGUAAGGUGACAGGUUACUGGUGCGUGCCUAGUACCGCCGGUAAAACGAGGAUCAAGCCUCCACCUCACCCAUCACCCUCCGCGUGCCGUGGAUUAAGGCCAACCUUAACGUGUGCAUAUCUGGUGAGCUCUGGGACCACCCUGCCCUCCCUCACCCACAGGGAUGAGCUUAUCAAGGAGUGGGCGAAACCCUCCACACUCUGACCUGUGUGUUGGCCCGCCAUGUGUACGCCCUCGGCCUCAGCAGUCUGCCGCUGGAGCGCGUCGGUGAACGGCGACUCGUCAGGAGGGGCUUCACCAAGCGCUCCGGCCUGGAUGUUAGUGCUGAGUGUUGCCUCCCAGAUAGUGAAGUCGCAAUCACCUAAGAUGGAAGCCUUGGGUCUGCCUGGGUCCCUGCUGCCGCUGUGGUCACUCUCCCCGCCCCUGCCCGUGCUGCAGCCCUCAGCCCCGACCUCACCCUCAUGAACUGCUCUGACGUGAAGGAUCACUUGGUCAACAUGCUGCUGAAUAGUGG